rnacentral:rRNA from 1 species
AAAACUAUUGGGCUAGAGUGUGGGAGAGGAAGAUGGAAUUAGUUGUGUAGGGGUAAAAUCCGUAGAGAUAACUAGGAAUACCAAAAGCGAAGGCAAUCUUCUGGAACACUACUGACGCUGAGGCGCGAAGGCGUGGGGAGCAAACAGGAUUAGAUACCCUGGUAGUCCACGCAGUAAACGAUGAGAGUUAGUCGUCGGGUAGCUAGUCUAUUCGGUGAUGCAGCUAACGCAUUAAACAUUCCGCCUGGGGAGUACGGUCGCAAGAUUAAAACUCAAAGGAAUAGACGGGGACCCGCACAAGUGGUGGAGCAUGUGGUUUAAUUCGAAGAUACGCGAAGAACCUUACCUAGCCUUGACAUAUAUUAGAACAGACCAGAGAUGGACUGGUGCCUUCGGGAGCUUUUAUACAGGUGCUGCACGGCUGUCGUCAGCUCGUGUCGUGAGAUGUUGGGUUAAGUCCCGCAACGAGCGCAACCCUCGUCACUAGUUACUAACGGUUCGGCCGAGGACUCUAGUGAGACUGCCUUCGCAAGGAGGAGGAAGGUGAGGACGACGUCAAGUCAUCAUGGCCCUUACGGCUAGGGCAACACACGUGCUACAAUGGCCAGGACAAUGAGACGCGAUACCGCGAGGUGGAGCAAAUCUAUAAACCUGGUCUCAGUUCGGAUUGUAGUCUGCAACUCGACUACAUGAAGC